rnacentral:rRNA from 1 species
UACGAAGGGGGCUAGCGUUGCUCGGAAUCACUGGGCGUAAAGCGCACGUAGGCGGCUCGUUAAGUCAGGGGUGAAAUCCUGGAGCUCAACUCCAGAACUGCCUUUGAUACUGGCGAGCUUGAGUUCGGGAGAGGUGAGUGGAACUGCGAGUGUAGAGGUGAAAUUCGUAGAUAUUCGCAAGAACACCAGUGGCGAAGGCGGCUCACUGGCCCGGUACUGACGCUGAGGUGCGAAAGCGUGGGGAGCAAACAGG